rnacentral:rRNA from 1 species
GAUGAACGCUGGCGGCGUGCCUAAUACAUGCAAGUCGAGCGAACAGAUGAGGAGCUUGCUCCUCUGACGUUAGCGGCGGACGGGUGAGUAACACGUGGAUAACCUACCUAUCAUACUGGGAUAACUUCGGGAAACCGGAGCUAAUACCGGAUAAUAUAUUGAACCGCAUGGUUCAAUAGUGAAAGACGGUUUUGCUGUCACUUAUAGAUGGAUCCGCGCCGCAUUAGCUAGUUGGUAAGGUAACGGCUUACCAAGGCAACGAUGUGUAGCCGACCUGAGAGAGUGAUCGGCCACCUGGGAACUUAGACACGGUCCAGACUACUACGGGAGGCAGCAGUAGGGAAUCUUACGCAAUGGGCGAGAGCCUGACGGAGCAACGCCGCGUGAGUGACGAAGGUCUUCGGAUCGUAAAAAUCUGUUAUUAGGUAAGAACAAAUGUGUAAGUAACUAUGCACGUAUUGACGGUACCUAAUCAGAAAGCCACGGCUAACUACGUG